GGGGAUGUAGCUCAAAUGGUAGAGCAGUUGUUCCGCAUAUAACAGGUAGGAGGAUCGAUACCUCCCAUCUCCA
rfam:Selaginella moellendorffii unplaced genomic scaffold SELMOscaffold_12, whole genome shotgun sequence.